rnacentral:snRNA from 1 species
GGAUGUGAGGGCUAUCUGGCUGCGACAUCUGUCACCCCACUGAUCAGGUCAUCAAUCAGGGUUGAUUUGGCUGAUCUGGCUGGCUAGGCGGGUGUCCCUUUCCUCCCUCAACACUCCAUGUGAGUCCCUCCCGAAGCUGCACACUCAGUCCAAGAGGACGACCAUCCCCAAUAGAGGAGGACCGUUCUUAGGUCAAGGGUAUACGAGAGUAGCUAGAACAUCCAAACAAGCUCUCAGAGACAAGGAGAAAAUGUAAAUCCCCAGUCACCAAUUUCUUUUUCUAGAAAAAGUCAAAAUU